rnacentral:tRNA from 1 species
GCCCGGGUGAUGAAAUCAGGCAGACAUGGACCCCUUAAAAGGGUCUGGCCGCAAGGUCGUGUGGGUUCGAAUCCCACCCCGGGCA